rnacentral:rRNA from 1 species
UACAGAGGAGCCAAGCGUUGUCCGGAAUUACUGGGCGUAAAGUGUGCGCAGGCGGCCGAGCAAGUCGAGUGUGAAAGCCCCGAGCUUAACUUGGGAACUGCGCUCGAAACUACUUGGCUAGAGUGUGGCAGAGGGAGGUGGAAUUCCACGUGUAGCGGUGAAAUGCGUAGAGAUGUGGAGGAACACCGAUGGCGAAGGCAAUCCCCUGGGCCUGCACUGACGCUCAUGCACGAAAGCGUGGGGAGCAAACAGG